UACGAGGGGGGCAAAUGUUGUUCGGAAUCGCUGGGCGUAAAGGGAGCGUAGGCGGGUGUUUAAGUUAGGUGUUUAAUCCCAGGGCCCAACCCUGGUCGUGCACUUAAAACUGGACAACUUGAAUAGGGGAGAGGUCAGUGGAAUUGGGGGUGUAGCGGUGGAAUGCGUAGAGAUCCCCAAGAACACCAGUUGCGAAGGCGGCUGACUGGGCCCAUAUUGACGCUGAGGCUCGAAAGCAUGGGGAGCAAACAGG
rnacentral:rRNA from 1 species